UAUGUGAUCGUUCAUAUUCCUGGAGUUCAGAAGAUUCUUACUCUCUGUGAGGUUGAAGUCUACAGGUAUUUGGGAGGAAAUCGGGCAUUAGAUGGAGCCACUACACAGUCAUCAACAUCAACAGGGAACUGGUUUUCUGAAAAGGCCAUUGAUGGUAAUCGAGGUCUCCAGCAGUUGUAUACGGGAUGCUCCUCGACUCUCAAUGAGUCUGACCCAUGGUGGAGGCUGGAUCUGCGUCAUAUUUAUCAAGUCAGUGAAGUGGUCAUCACGAACAGAAAAGACUGCUGUGCAGAACGAAUAAAUGGAGCAGAGAUUCACAUCGGAAACUCUUUGGAGAACAACGGCAACAACAAUCCCAUAUGUGCUGUUAUUGCUGCUAUUCCAGCAGGUCAGUCCUACAGCUUCUCAUGUAACGGGAUGGAGGG